rnacentral:rRNA from 1 species
AGUGAACGCUGGCGGUAGGCCUAACACAUGCAAGUCGAACGGCAGCACAGUAAGAGCUUGCUCUUACGGGUGGCGAGUGGCGGACGGGUGAGGAAUACAUCGGAAUCUACUUUUUCGUGGGGGAUAACGUAGGGAAACUUACGCUAAUACCGCAUACGACCUACGGGUGAAAGCAGGGGAUCUUCGGACCUUGCGCGAUUGAAUGAGCCGAUGUCGGAUUAGCUAGUUGGCGGGGUAAAGGCCCACCAAGGCGACGAUCCGUAGCUGGUCUGAGAGGAUGAUCAGCCACACUGGAACUGAGACACGGUCCAGACUCCUACGGGAGGCAGCAGUAGGGAAUAUUGGACAAUGGGCGCAAGCCUGAUCCAGCAAUACCGCGUGGGUGAAGAAGGCCUUCGGGUUGUAAAGCCCUUUUGUUGGGAAAGAAAAGCAGCAGGUUAAUACCCCGCUGUUCUGACGGUACCCAAAGAAUAAGCACCGGCUAACUUCGUG